UUUAGAUUUGAGUAUUUAGGUAUUGAAUGUGAUGCUGGAGAUUGUAUAAUUAUUUUUCACUUUUCCUCAGUAUAAAGUGUUUUAUCAUUCACAUUUUUGUGUUGAAAUAGAUUAGCCUAUCCCCUGUAUGUCAUCGAUGCGCUACUUCAAAGAUGUGAGGAAAAGAACAUACACCUGCGAGUAGUCUGUUACAUUGCCUGUGUUAUUGCCUCACAUUUGCAGAUCAAGUACAGUACCAGAUGGCUUGAUGGGUUUGGGCUCACAGACGGGGAAGGAAUGGACAGGCUGUGGUCUUUCCUCCAAAGAUUUGCCAGAGUCACAAAGGAGAUGACUCCAUCUCAUCGCCUUGACCUACUGACUGAUGCCCUUUUGCAUUAGGGAUGGAGGAAAUCAACUGACCUAGGUGCAGCUACUGCAAAGAGUAGACAAAGCAGAGAAAAUAUUGAUUCUUGCUCAGGAAGAUAUCUCAUGUCAUCAGAGAGGCACCAGGUAAACAAUGCACAUAAGAAGCAGGUAACAAUUAGUUGUAGAUGAGAGAAUA